GAAGGUAUAGCUCAACUGGUAGAAUGCAUGCUUAGCAUGCAUGAAGUCCUGGGUUCAAUCCCCAGUACAUCCU
rnacentral:tRNA from 1 species